UAAUCUGCGAUAAGCGCCGGUAAGGUGAUAUGAACCGUUAUAACCGGCGAUACCCGAAUGGGGAAACCCAGUGUGAUUCGUCACACUAUCAUUAACUGAAUCCAUAGGUUAAUGAGGCGAACCGGGGGAACUGAAACAUCUAAGUACCCCGAGGAAAAGAAAUCAACCGAGAUUCCCCCAGUAGCGGCGAGCGAACGGGGAGGAGCCCAGAGCCUGAAUCAGCAUGUGUGUUAGUGGAAGCGUCUGGAAAGGCGCGCGAUACAGGGUGACAGCCCCGUACACAAAAGCGCAUGUGCUGUGAGCUCGAUGAGUAGGGCGGGACACGUGGUAUCCUGUCUGAAUAUGGGGGGACCAUCCUCCAAGGCUAAAUACUCCUGACUGACCGAUAGUGAACCAGUACCGUGAGGGAAAGGCGAAAAGAACCCCGGCGAGGGGAGUGAAAAAGAACCUGAAACCGUGUACGUACAAGCAGUGGGAGCCCCACCACUAAGCCAGUGGUGAACUCCACAUCCGCAUCCUUUGCUGAGGAUACGGUUAACGGAGCGAAAGCGACGUUCAACCGCAAAACAAGCAGAGGGGGCUUAGUGGUGGGGUGACUGCGUACCUUUUGUAUAAUGGGUCAGCGACUUAUAUUCUGUAGCAAGGUUAACCGAAUAGGGGAGCCGGAGGGAAACCGAGUCUUAAUUGGGCGUUAAGUUGCAGGGUAUAGACCCGAAACCCGGUGAUCUAGCCAUGGGCAGGUUGAAGGUUGGGUAACACUAACUGGAGGACCGAACCGACUAAUGUUGAAAAAUUAGCGGAUGACCUGUGGCUGGGGGUGAAAGGCCAAUCAAACCGGGAGAUAGCUGGUUCUCCCCGAAAGCUAUUUAGGUAGCGCCUCGUGAAUUCAUCUCCGGGGGUAGAGCACUGUUUCGGCUAGGGGGCCAUCCCGGCUUACCAACCCGAUGCAAACUGCGAAUACCGGAGAAUGUUAUCACGGGAGACACACGGCGGGUGCUAACGUCCGUCGUGAAGAGGGAAACAACCCAGACCGCCAGCUAAGGUCCCAAAGUCAUGGUUAAGUGGGAAACGAUGUGGGAAGGCCCAGACAGCCAGGAUGUUGGCUUAGAAGCAGCCAUCAUUUAAAGAAAGCGUAAUAGCUCACUGGUCGAGUCGGCCUGCGCGGAAGAUGUAACGGGGCUAAACCAUGCACCGAAGCUGCGGCAGCGAACGUAUCACCCAAGACAACUUUACGGAGUUGACGAUUGACGGAGCGAAGCGACGUCAAAGCGUUCAUUAAAGUCGAGUUGGCUUAGGGAUACGUUCGUUGGGUAGGGGAGCGUUCUGUAAGCCUGUGAAGGUGUGUCGUGAGGCAUGCUGGAGGUAUCAGAAGUGCGAAUGCUGACAUAAGUAACGAUAAAGCGGGUGAAAAGCCCGCUCGCCGGAAGACCAAGGGUUCCUGUCCAACGUUAAUCGGGGCAGGGUGAGUCGACCCCUAAGGCGAGGCCGAAAGGCGUAGUCGAUGGGAAACGGGUUAAUAUUCCCGUACUUGGUGUUACUGCGAAGGGGGGACGGAGAAGGCUAUGUUGGCCGGGCGACGGUUGUCCCGGUUUAAGCGUGUAGGUGUGUGUUCCAGGUAAAUCCGGUUCACUUUAACACUGAGGCGUGACGACGAGGCACUACGGUGCUGAAGCAACAAAUGCCCUGCUUCCAGGAAAAGCCUCUAAGCAUCAGGUAACACGAAAUCGUACCCCAAACCGACACAGGUGGUCAGGUAGAGAAUACCAAGGCGCUUGAGAGAACUCGGGUGAAGGAACUAGGCAAAAUGGUGCCGUAACUUCGGGAGAAGGCACGCUGACACGUAGGUGAAGUGAUUUACUCAUGGAGCUGAAGUCAGUCGAAGAUACCAGCUGGCUGCAACUGUUUAUUAAAAACACAGCACUGUGCAAACACGAAAGUGGACGUAUACGGUGUGACGCCUGCCCGGUGCCGGAAGGUUAAUUGAUGGGGUCAGCGUAAGCGAAGCUCCUGAUCGAAGCCCCGGUAAACGGCGGCCGUAACUAUAACGGUCCUAAGGUAGCGAAAUUCCUUGUCGGGUAAGUUCCGACCUGCACGAAUGGCGUAAUGAUGGCCAGGCUGUCUCCACCCGAGACUCAGUGAAAUUGAACUCGCUGUGAAGAUGCAGUGUACCCGCGGCAAGACGGAAAGACCCCGUGAACCUUUACUAUAGCUUGACACUGAACAUUGAGCCUUGAUGUGUAGGAUAGGUGGGAGGCUUUGAAGUGUGGACGCCAGUCUGCAUGGAGCCGACCUUGAAAUACCACCCUUUAAUGUUUGAUGUUCUAACGUGGACCCGUAAUCCGGGUUGCGGACAGUGUCUGGUGGGUAGUUUGACUGGGGCGGUCUCCUCCUAAAGAGUAACGGAGGAGCACGAAGGUUGGCUAAUCCUGGUCGGACAUCAGGAGGUUAGUGCAAUGGCAUAAGCCAGCUUGACUGCGAGCGUGACGGCGCGAGCAGGUGCGAAAGCAGGUCAUAGUGAUCCGGUGGUUCUGAAUGGAAGGGCCAUCGCUCAACGGAUAAAAGGUACUCCGGGGAUAACAGGCUGAUACCGCCCAAGAGUUCAUAUCGACGGCGGUGUUUGGCACCUCGAUGUCGGCUCAUCACAUCCUGGGGCUGAAGUAGGUCCCAAGGGUAUGGCUGUUCGCCAUUUAAAGUGGUACGCGAGCUGGGUUUAGAACGUCGUGAGACAGUUCGGUCCCUAUCUGCCGUGGGCGCUGGAGAACUGAGGGGGGCUGCUCCUAGUACGAGAGGACCGGAGUGGACGCAUCACUGGUGUUCGGGUUGUCAUGCCAAUGGCACUGCCCGGUAGCUAAAUGCGGAAGAGAUAAGUGCUGAAAGCAUCUAAGCACGAAACUUGCCCCGAGAUGAGUUCUCCCUGAGACUUAGAGUCUCCUGAAGGAACGUUGAAGACGACGACGUUGAUAGGCCGGGUGUGUAAGCGCAGCGAUGCGUUGAGCUAACCGGUACUAAUGAACCGUGAGGCUUAACCUUACA
rnacentral:rRNA from 1 species